CUCGGAGGGGGGAACGGGUCUAGCACAGGGCCACCCCUCGAGCCGUGGCGUUGUGGUACCGCCCGCUUCCCUCUGAUUGGCUGCCGAAGCCCCGCAAUCUGGGCCAGCUCGCCGCGCAGCCCUCAGUAAGGCUCCGGCCGCAGCGCCGCUUGGCUCUGGUAUUCCUUGUUCUCGGCGGGUUGUGGGGGCUCUGCGCCGCGGCCGUUAGUCAUGUCGGGUAGGUGACUCCUUCAGCGAGCAGCGGCAGCGGCGAGAAGGGGCCCGGCGGGGUUGGGCCGUCUUCCCGCCCACCGGAGGGCCCCGCGGGAAAGUCUCCGGCCCUGAGGGAGGCUGGGGUGGGGGUGUGGGGGGGGCGGACGCUGCCGCCGCCAUGUUGGACUGGAGGGACGCACGCUCCCAACGCUCUCCGUCUACAAAUCCCGGCGGGAGCACCUCGAGCCCCCGGUCUCUUGGCCCUGUCCUUGGAACCCGAGGCGACGUGCUGCUCCCGGGGGAGGGUGUGUGAAUCGGGGGGCGGAGGCCGCUACGCCAUCGCAGGGGCGGGGGGAGCCCGUGAUUAGAGCAUCGGCCGGAGAGAAUCGGUGCUUCUGGUUCUCCGCUCCGCCUCAGAUCUUUCAGCGAGGCCUCCGGCCAGUCAUCUCGCCGCCUCGUCCCUCAGUUUCCCCAUCCGUGACGUGGAGCUGGGCCUUCCUGACUCACCCAUUCAUCAGAUUCUGGAAGUUACGGUCAGUCUGGGGGUGAGCAGCAAAGUUAUUCUUCCUAUGGAAAUCAAGGCAACCAAGGUUAUGGACAAGCACCACAAGUAGGUUAAAUAUAAAUUGAGUUCUUUAUAAAUAGUUUUAAUCUUCAAUAUGCAAUGAAACUUGUAUUUACCUAAAUUUCAGAGCUAUUCUGGCUAUGGGCAAACUACUGAUUCUUCAUAUGGGCAGAACUAUGGUGGCUACUCCAGUUACGGACAAAGCCAAUCAGGUUGGACUGAUUUGUUAAAUUUGCUGUUUUAGAAAUUUAAAAUCAGAACCUUUCCUAAAUGGUAUAUCCAUUCAAUCUUUAGGUUAUUCACAGUCCUAUGGUGGUUAUGAGAAUCAAAAGCAGAGCUCAUAUGGCCAGCCAUCUUAUA
rnacentral:lncRNA from 1 species